UGAUUAGUUUAUUAUUUUAUUUCUAUUUAUUACUUUAUUUGAAAUAACUUACUUUAUUUAGUAUUUUUAUUGAAAUAUAUUUUUUAAUAAUAGUUUAUUUUGUACUGUGAAGGGUAUUAAUCUUUUCUUAUCUAAGUAUAUAUUUAUAUAGUACCUUUUGUAUCAGGGUUUAUCAAUUAAGUUGUAUAUAUUUAUAUUUUUCCCGAAGUGUUAAGAUAUAAAUCUAAAUGAUUUUUUAUGUUUCAUAAUGAUUUUGAAUUUAGAUUUAGGGGUUAUAUGCUAUUCAAUUUUCAAUAUCUGGUUUUUUAAUAAAUGAAUUCAAUUCAGGAUCUACUUUUGGUUAAUUUACAAUUUUAUUUUAUUUUAAUUUGUAUAUCUAAAUUGUUUGGGGAUAAGCUUGAACUAUUCUUUAUAACCUUUUAUUAUUUAUAUUUAUUGUAGGCUUAAUAACAGCCAUCUUUAAUUUCGUUAUAGUUUAUUUUAUUUCUAUAUUUAUUUAAUUUAGGUUUAAUUUUUUAUUAAAAUUUGGUUUUUAUCUCCAUAUAUCUAGUAAUCAUGAUAAAAUUAGUAGUUAUGUUUAAUUAAAUGUAGUAAUUCGGCAAAUUCUAUCUCUGCCUGUUUAACAAAAACAUGUCCUAUAGAAUUAAUUUUAGGUCUGUCCUGCUCAAUGAUUUAUUAAAUAGCCGCAGUAUACUGACUGUGCAAAGGUAGCAUAAUCAUUUGUCUUUUAAUUGGAGGCUUGUAUGAAGGGUUUGACAAGGGAUAAUCUUUCUUCAUUUAAUUUUAUGAAUUUAAUUUUUUAGUGAAAAAGCUUAAAUGUUAUUGUGGGACGAGAAGACCCUAUAGAAUUUUACUUUGUAAUUAUAUUCUUUAUUUCUAUUUAUUAACUCUAGUAUAUAAUUAUUCUUAGUUUUGUUGGGGUGACCUUGAAAUUUUUUUAACUUUCAUUAAUUAUUUUUCAUUAAUUUAUGUAUUUAGGAUCCUACAAUGUGGAUUAAAAGAUUAAAUUACCUUAGGGAUAACAGCGUAAUUCCUUUGGAGAGUUCUUAUCGAUAAAGGAGUUUGCGACCUCGAUGUUGGAUUAAAGUUAGUUUUGGGUGUAGGAGCUCAAUAUACUGGGUCUGUUCGACCUUUAAAUCUUUACAUGAUCUGAGUUCAGACCGGCGUGAGCCAGGUUGGUUUCUAUCUACAAUUAUUUUAUUACAUAUUUUAGUACGAAAGGACCAAUUAUGUAUAAUAUUUAUAUUAAGACUGAUUAAUAUUAAA
rnacentral:rRNA from 1 species